GCCAGUGCGGCAUAGUGGUUUGAGUGCUAGACUGUGACUCUGGAGACCAGGGUUAGAUUCCCACCUUGGCU